UGGAGAGUUUGAUCCUGGCUCAGGACGAACGCUGGCGGCGUGCCUAAUACAUGCAAGUAGAACGCUGAGGACUGGUGCUUGCACCGGUCCAAGGAGUUGCGAACGGGUGAGUAACGCGUAGGUAACCUACCUCAUAGCGGGGGAUAACUAUUGGAAACGAUAGCUAAUACCGCAUAAAAGUGUUUAACCCAUGUUAAACAUUUAAAAGGUGCAACUGCAUCACUAUGAGAUGGACCUGCGUUGUAUUAGCUAGUUGGUGAGGUAACGGCUCACCAAGGCGACGAUACAUAGCCGACCUGAGAGGGUGAUCGGCCACACUGGGACUGAGACACGGCCCAGACUCCUACGGGAGGCAGCAGUAGGGAAUCUUCGGCAAUGGACGGAAGUCUGACCGAGCAACGCCGCGUGAGUGAAGAAGGUUUUCGGAUCGUAAAGCUCUGUUGUUAGAGAAGAAUGAUGGUGGGAGUGGAAAAUCCACCAUGUGACGGUAACUAACCAGAAAGGGACGGCUAACUACGUGCCAGCAGCCGCGGUA
rnacentral:rRNA from 1 species